AUAAAAUAAAAAAAAGUAAGUACAUAAUUAACAUAAAAUAAAAAAAGUAAGUACAUAAUUAUUAAUUAACAUAAAAAUGGGGCAUUCCUUGAAAAUUAUAAUUACAGCAGAAAUGAAGAGCAGAAAACUAAUAGCAUUUUCAGAAGCUUAGAAAAGAGUAUGGAAUUAGUUGUAACAGAAAGAUCUCGAGUACCUAGGGUUCCAAAACCCCCGCCUACACUUUCAUUCUCAUCUGUUUGGUUGAAG
rnacentral:lncRNA from 1 species